UUGCUGUGACAACAAGCUGGCGCGGGUGUAGUUUGCUGCACUUUGCAGCUCUUGUCUUCUGCUCCAGGGCACUCAGCUGCCUGGGGGAACCUGGAAAUCCAGUAAGUUCACACCUCAGGAGCAACAUCGGACAGAUGGUGGUUUGGAGCAGAGUGAGUGACUCUUUUCCUGGCCCCAAGGAGCAGCUGAAGAGGAUGCAGUGACCAGUGGAAGGACACGCAGCGUGUCCUGUAUUGUGAGAAAAGGAGCAGGAGCUGAAAAAGCGAGGCCAGUCUUACAACUCACUGGACUUCUGGCAAGAAUCCCUCCCCAGGUAGGUGCACACCCUUGCCUAAGACUGAGGUGGCCUUCCUGGAGCACCUGCUCACACCACAUCCAGGAUCCAAGCACCAAGUCAGACCAGGCCAACAAAAUCCCCAACAUCCAGCUGACUCAUGCUGUAAGAAGGCUGAUUCAUCUGGAGGUUUGUCCCUACCCAGCUUUGAUGGAGCUCAAUAGAUGCUUUUAGACUUAGGGACCUUGUUCCCAUGUGUCAAAAAGGCACAUUCCUGAAGACAAUACAGAUCAGGCCAUAAGUUCAUAGGAGAAGAAUAUCAGAACUGCAUUUUAUCUCCUUCCAUUUGUUUGAAGGCAACGUAGAUAAAGCCACAUCUGCACAGCUUCUGCCUGAUGCAGCCCCUCUUAGGUCGUGCUGCAAAAAAUACCUGUGGUUGUAUCAGCUGCACCUUUGCUGCUUGCCU
rnacentral:lncRNA from 1 species